UUCAAAAUAAUGCUCGAGGGCCUGGGCCAUUGUGGGCUCCAGCAAAUGUGUGGGGAUGAGCAGCGAAGUGGUGGCUCUGCUGUGCUGGGCAUGCAGCACGUGCGACAGACUCGGGCAGCAGAGAGGCGCUGGUGAAGGACAAGGUGCUGGACUUCCUCAAGAGGAUGCCGGAGCAGCCCCAAUGCGGCUUCAGCAACACGGUGGUGCAUAUCCUACAACUGCGCAGUCUCCAUGACAAUCUGGCCUACAAAGUGAUGGGUGACCUCAAGCUCCGACAGGGCAUUAAGACUAUUCCAACCGGCCCACCAUCCCACAAGCAUACCUCAAUGGAGAGUUUGUCAGGGGCUGUAACAUUCUUCUGCAGAUGUGCCAGAAUGAGGACCUGGUGGGAGAACUGAGAAAGCUGGGGAUCUACUUCACCCUUUUAGAUAAAAAGGAAGACCAAGAUUCAAAGUGUGGCUGCCCAGGUCCUCACUGA
rnacentral:lncRNA from 1 species